UUUCCUCUGCCCUCCCACUCCGCCCGUGGUCUGCUCUGCUUCCCCAAACACCAUUCCUCCAUAGCUGCCUCUGCUAAAGCAACGAUGGACCCAAACCCUGAGCACCUGAGACCUGUGGCUUUUUACCUGCAGUGACCUUCCCUGACUCGGUGUUUACCUUCAGAGAAAGGGAACAUUUGCUGCCUAGUGGAGCUCAGCUACAGCUUUUCAGUCAGCAAUCAAAACACUCGAAAGCUAAGAGCAGCAUUUGAAUUUAAAAAUCAUAAUUACAGUGCCCAAGAGGGAGAAGUUGGAAGAGGGCAAUGAACAAAGCAGGGGGUUGGAAGAAAACAAAGAAAGGCAUGAGAGGAAUCUGCGCUUUGAACAGAGAGUCCUGAAUAUCUUGUACUGGCUACUUCAAAUUGGGCACCUGAAAUUAAUAGAUUCUUUGACCUUCAUUUCUCUGUACUCUUGUUCUUUGUUUGUAAAGCAGAAACCACAGUAGAGCCUCACCAAGAAAAAAAAAAAAGAUGCCAUCACAGCAACUGCUCCAGCCAAAGCACUCAGAUGCUGCAGAGAUGAGGAUGAAGAAGGGAAUAAAAAACCCCAACCCUCUAUGGCUUUUCAGCAAGAGCAAAAAGGAUCCAGCAAAACCCAGCAGAAGAUCCAGGCUGUCUUCAGCGGGUGCACUGGACAAAACCUCGUGCUGAUCACUCCAGGGACACCCACUCCUUCCGCUGGCUCCUCACCUACCUGAGCUCUCCAGAAAUGAUGCAGGAUGAGCUGCAAGGCGGCAGCUUGGACAGAAAUCCAGGUGCAGAACAAGGACACUGAAGAUCGUCUCAGUGGAUUGAAACAGCUACUCUCAUGAGUGGUGUAAUUUAUCACAAAUCAGGUAAUAUGGAGGGGGAAAAAUCCAAGGAGUUCACACUGGGUGACGUUCAGUCUGAGAGUGCAGCAGGAAGCCACACUGGAUGUUUUCCUUGUUGGUUUGCACAGGGGAGGGAUGAGACAAUGUGCCCAUCCAGCUGGGAACACCAAGGCAACCACUUCUUGGGUUAAGGAAAGUGGCACUGUGAAGUCUCUGCCAGCAGCCCUUAAAAACACUGUUAUAAACCAGCCAGCUCCAGAGAUCUCCUCCUUCUCCUCGCUCUAGGAAUGCAUCUUCCUUGGUCCAAGCUUAGUUAGAGGUUAGACUGGGAAAGCAGCAGCCUGUCUGGGAGCAAUCACUCCUCCAUUCAAACACGUUAAUGAAUUUCCACCAAAGGGGUUAGCUAUCAAAGUUCUUUUUUACGCUGCUGGAGCAAACCUUCCUGUGACAAAUUCCUGCCCUUAUUCGGGCUCCAGAGCUAUUACAAGUGACUCCUGUGAGAAUCAGAUCCUCCUUGGACCCACCAGCACAGGAACUGCCCUCCUCACUGGUCCAGCAUCCUUCCUCUCCCAUCCCACUCUUUCUUUAGGUCUCUUUCUCCUCACCAGCCUUCCCUAGCGCUUGCCCGUUCCAUGAUUUCAUCCGAGGUGGGUGGUGAGCUCGCUCUCCCCCGCGCAGCCUCUUCCCAGCGGCUCCCGGGAUCCCUGCCAGCUCCUCUCCACCCACGGCCUCUCCCGACGAGCCGAACCGCGCAGCUCCCGCUGCUGCCCGCGCCAAGGCAGCAUCCCACAUCUGCUGCGCUGGCUCGGCCAGGGGCAGGGCAGCCAAGGAGCACCUCACCUAUCCCCCUGCACCAGUGCCUUCCAGGGGGUGGUAUCUCCACCCCUGCAUCCCAGGGGAUCCCCAGCUUCCCUGCCAGGACACGGCGAUGGGGCACUGAAGUGACUCUUGAAUGCUCAAGAAGUGCAGACCCAAGUUUGAGUUUAGAAAACAGCUUUGCGGGUUGAAAACCAAAUGAGAACUGCCUUCCCCCCCACCCCCCUUUUUUUUUUUCUGAGUUACUCUAAGACAUAAAACCUCUGUGUGGAUUUAAGCAUUCCCAGCCUGGCUAAUGCAGGAGCACCAAGGAGUGAAGUCAACUGGUCCCACGGCUUCAGAGAUUGAGGAGCUGAACAUGGCAAAGCAGAUUUCAAUCAAAUUUUGAAUUUGUUAAACCAAAGUGUUAAAACUGAAAACAGAGCACAGGACAGCUUCUCAAACCUCUUGGGUUAUUCCCUCUGCUCUUUUGCCAUGAUUUUAGAAAAUUAUUCUUUUGACUAUUCCUCCUGAUGCCAUUUCUGUGAGUCCAUAAAACCAUUUUCUCCUUGUCAGAGAAUUCCAACGCCGGUGAUUUAUAGGCUUUGCUUGGAAUGCAGCACACAAGUACUUCACUUUUUCAUUCGCCCUUUCUAAACGUUUUUAACGAUCCGCUUCCUCGGAUCUGUUUAUAUUUGGGACAUUAAAAGCUAAGCAACAACUCCAUUAUGAGCAAGAACACCAUAAAAAUUCCACCACUGCCAGGAAACAUCUCAAUACAGUGACAAACGUAGCCACUCUCUCGCCCUGCUGCUCAUCCGUGGGAAGACUGGUUUAUAAAUUAUUCAUGAGUGCCUUAAAAUUUCCAGGCUAAUCUCAACUAAAAAGUGGGGGUUUUUACACCAUUGUUUCGCUCCCAAGUUCUCCAACUGGAAUUUUGAUUUGCAUAGCGAAAUCUGAAAAUUUACUUGCACUGAAUUUCUUUCCUUCAAGUUGUGAUUUCAGUUCUCACUCUGGAAACAUAGUGGAGAAUCUUUGCAUGACAACUUAUUUGGAAGCCUGGAAAUCCUUCAUAAUUCCCAUGAAUUUCCUGAGAAAUUUAAGUUUUCCCAGAUGUGUUUUUUGAGCAGGUUUGGAUCUAUAAGGUUUGUGGCACCUUUCAGCAGGCAAUCCCACCACCCCAAGGCAUUUUUAGUAAUGAUGAACUAUCUGGGAGACUAUCAAGCCAUUCUCUUCCCAGUCUGUUCCACAGUAAGGACAAGCAAGACUGAAGAUUAAAUCAUGGCAAAAUUUAACAGAGAAAAUCACUUUGUGGUCCUCUGGAGGCUAUUAACAGACCAACUCACUCACCUGUGCUCGUGGAUUUUACAGCUGUCAGUCUGUUCUGGGAUUUAAUCCGCAUGGUGGCACUGGAGUAUAUUCCAUGUAAAAUCAUCAAUCAUAAAUAAAUCCCGCUGGGUUUUUAUGCAGUAAUGUUACAGAAGAACAAACAGUCACGAUAUUUGAAGCCACGAAGCUAGAAGAGUUGCCUUAUAUUCCUCUUCAUGUCUGUACUCUGCCAUGCAUUGCUUGGCAAACUGUACCACUGCCGGCUCCUCCACACAGCGCUUUGAUGACCCUUCCCAGCCACUUCAUCCCAGGCUGUGCUGCUCCAAAUGAGGGUCAGUGUCAGGCUUUCCAGGCUGGAAUCCAGCCAGAUAUGUGCAGGGCUUGACAUGCUGAUUGCUUUGGGAAAGUAGAGACCAAAAAAACCUUUCCUUUGUAGCAAUAUGUGAAUAGUUCUUCCCUGUGAGGGAGGUGAGGCCCCAGCACAGGUUGAUCAGAGAAGCUGUGGCUGUCCCUGGAU